GGGAAUCGGCGGAGGUACAGUAGCAGGGGAAUCGGCGGAGGUACAGUAGCAGGGGAAUCGGUGGAGGUACAGUAGCAGGGGAAUCGGCGGAGGUACAGUAGCAGGGGAAUCGGCGGAGGUACAGUAGCAGGGGAAUCGGCGGAGGUACAGUAGCAGGGGAAUCGGCAGAGGUACAGUAGCAGUAUGUGUUAUCCAGGGAAUGAUGUAUCUAUGAGAUGGAGGUCAGUAUGUGUUAUCCAGGGAAUGAUGUAUCUAUGAGAUGGGGGCCAGUCUCCCAGUCUCCCGGUCUCCCGGUCUCCCGGUC
ensembl:lncRNA